CUCGUGAAUUAAGUGAGAUAAGUCGUAACAUAGUAGUUGUACCGGAAGGUGUGGCUGGAAUAAUCAAAUC
rnacentral:tRNA from 1 species